rnacentral:rRNA from 1 species
AUGAUUAUUGGAGUGAUACCUGCUGAAGGAAGGGAACAAGAUACACCAAAUGAGGUACAACAAUGGCGAAAACCAAACGAAGAAAGGGAAUGCCAAGUGUAUACAAGAAGGCGGCAAUCAAAAGAGAAACAAAUGCAGGGGGAGGAAGUAACUUCUUUGGAGCCUCACCAUGAAGCCUAUGAACCAGAAAGAACACCAUCCAGAGUGGAGCAGCCUGAUGCGAAUGACUCAACACCAGACCCACCAUUACCAUCUCAGGCUCCACAGGUAACUCCGUCAUGUGAUGAUAAUGCUCUUACAUUGGAUGAUCUAGAUAUACCCAUUGCCCACCGAAAACAACCUCGAUUAACUGCUGGGAAAUUGCCAUCAAGAAUGUCACCCUACAAUGUCUCCAAUUAUGUUUCAUAUUCCUCUGUGGGUCCUCAAUACAAUUCAUUUAUAGCUGCUCUAGAUUCGAUGGCACCACUACCACAUGACUGGCAGGAGGCAGUAAGGGACCCAAGGUGGAGAGCAGCAAUGGUUGAAGAAAUGACUGCACUCGAUAAGAAUAAUACUUGGGAACUCUCUAUACUUCCUGCAGGUAAGAAAGUUGUGGGUUGUAAGUGGGUGUUCACCAUAAAGCAAACACCUCAGGGCAAAAUAGAGAGAUAUAAAGCCAGACUAGUGGCAAAAGGGUAUAGUCAAACAUACGGAGUGGAUUACGAUGAGACUUUUGCCCCAGUGGCUAAGAUGAAUACUAUUAGAACCCUGAUCUCAUUAGCAGCGAAUUAUAAGUGGAAUCUUUUUCAGAUGGAUGUUAAUAAUGCUUUUCUACAUGGUGACUUGCAAGAGGAAGUAUAUAUGGAAAUCCCACAUGGGUUUAAUAGUAAGGAGACAGAGGGUAAGGUGUGCAGACUAAAAAAUCAUUAUAUGGACUCAAGCAAUCACCAAGGGCCUGGUUUGGGAAGUUUUGCAAGGAGAUCCGCUCACUUGGCUAUCAGCAAAGCAAUGCUGAUCAUACACUGUUUUUCAGGAGUAAUCAUGGCAAACUUACAAUUCUUGUGGUUUAUGUUGAUGACAUUGUUAUUACAGGUAAUGAUGAUGAGGAGAUAA